GACGAACGCUGGCGGCGUGCUUAACACAUGCAAGUCGAACGGAAAGGCCCUGCUUUCGUGGGGUGCUCGAGUGGCGAACGGGUGAGUAACACGUGAGUAACCUGCCCUUGACUUUGGGAUAACUUCAGGAAACUGGGGCUGAUACCGGAUAGGAGCUCCUGCUGCAUGGUGGGGGUUGGAAAGUUUCGGCGGUUGGGGAUGGACUCGCGGCUUAUCAGCUUGUUGGUGGGGUAGUGGCUUACCAAGGCUUUGACGGGUAGCCGGCCUGAGAGGGUGACCGGCCACAUUGGGACUGAGAUACGGCCCAGACUCCUACGGGAGGCAGCAGUGGGGAAUAUUGCACAAUGGGCGGAAGCCUGAUGCAGCAACGCCGCGUGCGGGAUGACGGCCUUCGGGUUGUAAACCGCUUUCGCCUGUGACGAAGCGUGAGUGACGGUAAUGGGUAAAGAAGCACCGGCUAACUACGUG
rnacentral:rRNA from 1 species